CACCGCGGUUAUACGAUACGCCCGAGUUGACAGCCUUCGGCAUAAAGCGUGGUUAAUUUAUACUUAAACUAAAGUCGAACCCGUUCGAUAUCUGUAAAAAGCUCACGAACAUAGAGAAGCCCAACAACGAAAGUGACUUUAAAACCAAUGAAUCCACGAAAGCUAAGAAA
rnacentral:rRNA from 1 species